rnacentral:rRNA from 1 species
AUUGAACGCUGGUUGCAGGCCUAACACAUGCAAGUCGAGCGAGCGGCGGCCGGGUGAGUAAUGUAUGGGGACUGCCCGAUAGAGGGGGAUCACUACUGGAAACGGUAGCUAAUACCGCAUACUAUCGUUUCACCCCUAGGGGAUUCGCUAGUAGGUGAGGUAAUGGCUCACCUAGGCGACGCUCCCUAGCUGUUCUGAGAGGAUGAUCAGCCACACUGGGACUGAGACACGGCCCAGACUCCUACGGAGGCAGCAGUGGGGAAUAUUGCACAAUGGGCGCAAGCCUGAUGCAGCCAUGCCGCGGGUAUGAAGAAGGCCCUAGGGUUGUAAAGUACUUUCAGUCGGGAGGCGUUACCGACAGAAGAAGCACCGGCUAACUCCGUGCCAGCAGCCGCGGUAAUAC